rnacentral:rRNA from 1 species
AGUGAACGCUGGCGGUAGGCCUAACACAUGCAAGUCGAACGGCAGCACAGUAAGAGCUUGCUCUUACGGGUGGCGAGUGGCGGACGGGUGAGGAAUACAUCGGAAUCUACUUUUUCGUGGGGGAUAACGUAGGGAAACUUACGCUAAUACCGCAUACGACCUACGGGUGAAAGCAGGGGAUCUUCGGACCUUGCGCGAUUGAAUGAGCCGAUGUCGGAUUAGCUAGUUGGCGGGGUAAAGGCCCACCAAGGCGACGAUCCGUAGCUGGUCUGAGAGGAUGAUCAGGCACACUGGAACUGAGACACGGUCCAGACUCCUACGGGAGGCAGCAGUGGGGAAUAUUGGACAAUGGGCGCAAGCCUGAUCCAGCCAUACCGCGUGAGUGAAGAAGGCCUUCGGGUUGUAAAGCCCUUUUGUUGGGAAAGAAAAGCAGCAGGUUAAUACCCCGCUGUUCUGACGGUACCCAAAGAAUAAGCACCGGCUAACUUCGUG